AUCAUUUGGGGUAAAUAAAACAUGAUGAUUGGGCAUUCACACUAUUGUGUGAGAUAUCUAUCAAAUCUUUUUAUGGCAUUUAUGUAUUACUCAUCUGAUA